rnacentral:rRNA from 1 species
AGUGAACGCUGGCGGUAGGCCUAACACAUGCAAGUCGAACGGCAGCACAGUAAGAGCUUGCUCUUACGGGUGGCGAGUGGCGGACGGGUGAGGAAUACAUCGGAAUCUACUUUUUCGUGGGGGAUAACGUAGGGAAACUUACGCUAAUACCGCAUACGACCUACGGGUGAAAGCAGGGGAUCUUCGGACCUUGCGCGAUUGAAUGAGCCGAUGUCGGAUUAGCUAGUUGGCGGGGUAAAGGCCCACCAAGGCGACGAUCCGUAGUUGGUCUGAGAGGAUGAUCAGCAACACUGGAACUGAGACACGGUCCAGACUCCUACGGGAGGCAGCAGGGGGGAAUAUUGGACAAUGGGCGCAAGCCUGAUCCAGCCAUACCGCGUGGGUGAAGAAGGCCUUCGGGUUGUAAAGCCCUUUUGUUGGGAAAGAAAAGCAGCAGGUUAAUACCCCGCUGUUCUGACGGUACCCAAAGAAUAAGCACCGGCUAACUUCGUG